GAUGAAGAACGCAGCGAAAUGCGAUAAGUAAUGCGAAUUGCAGAAUUCAGUGAAUCAUCGAAUCUUUGAACGCACAUUGCGCCCGCUAGUAUUCUGGCGGGCAUGCCUGUCUGAGCGUCAUUACAACCCUCAGGCCCCCGGGCCUGGCGUUGGGGAUCGGCGGAGCCCCCCGUGGGCACACGCCGUCCCCCAAAUGCAGUGGCGGUCCCGCCGCAGCUUCCAUCGCGUAGUAGCUAACACCUCGCGACUGGAGAGCGGCGCGGCCACGCCGUAAAACACCCAACUCUUCUGAAGUUGACCUCGAAUCAGGUAGGAAUACCCGCUGAACUUAAGCAUAUCAAUAAGCGGAGGA
rnacentral:misc_RNA from 1 species